UUUUGUAGGAGGUUGAUUCUUGGUUCAAGAUUGAUCGCUGGCGGGCGUGCCUUAAUAUACAUUGCAAGUUCGAGCGAAAAGAACGAGGGAGCUUGCUUCCUUUUACGUUAGCCGCGACGGGUGAGUACACGUGGAUUACUUACCUUAUUAAGACUGGGAUGACUUCGGGAAACCGGAGCUAAUACCGGGAUAAUAUAUUGAACGGCAUGGUUCAAUAGUGAAAGACGGGUUUUGCUGUCACUUAUAGAUGGAUCCGCGCCGCAUUAGCUAGUUGGUAAGGUAACCGGCUCUACCAAGGCAACGAUGCGUAGCCGACCUGAGAGGGUGAUCGGCCACACUGGAACUGAGACACGGUCCAGACUCCUACGGGAGGCAGCAGUAGGGAAUCUUCCGCAAUGGGCGAAAGCCUGACGGAGCAACGCCGCGUGAGUGAUGAAGGUCUUCGGAUCGUAAAACUCUGUUAUUAGGGAAGAACAAAUGUGUAAGUAACUAUGCACGUCUUGACGGUACCUAAUCAGAAAGCCACGGCUAACUACGUGCCAGCAGCCGCGGUAAUACGUAGGUGGCAAGCGUUAUCCGGAAUUAUUGGGCGUAAAGCGCGCGUAGGUGGUUGAAAUAAGUCUGAUGUGAAAGCCCACGGCUCAACCGUGGAGGGUCAUUGGAAACUGGAAAACUUGAGUGCAGAAGAGGAAAGUGGAAUUCCAUGUGUAGCGGUGAAAUGCGCUUAGAUAUGGAGGAACACCAGUGGCGAAGGCGACUUCUAGUACUGUAAUUGACGCGAGACGAGUGUUAUUCAG
rnacentral:rRNA from 1 species